GUAGGUGAACCUGCGGAAGGAUCAUUAAUGAAUUUUGAUUUAGGUUAGGUGGAGGAGGGGGAGGGGUGAAGAAUAACUUUCUUUCUUUCUUUCCUUCGACUGACAUAUUUUCUUCUCUCUUCACACGUGCUCCGGUGGAUGUUUAGUCUAGAAUUUAUUCUUCUUUCUAAAUGUCUGUCGAUUGUUUUCUGCGUAUUUAUUUAUUAUCUGAAUUUAUUAUAAUGAAUCAAUUGGAAAACUUCUCAAAAGG
rnacentral:misc_RNA from 1 species